AACGAACGCUGGCGGCAUGCCUAACACAUGCAAGUCGAACGAGACCUUCGGGUCUAGUGGCGCACGGCUGCGUAACGCGUGGGAACCUGCCCUUAGGUUCGGAAUAACUCCCCGAAAGGGGUGCUAAUACCGGAUAAUGUCUUCGGACCAAAGAUUUAUCGCCUUUGGAUGGGCCCGCGUUGGAUUAGCUAGUUGGUAGGGUAAAAGCCUACCAAGGCGACGAUCCAUAGCUGGUCUGAGAGGAUGAUCAGCCACACUGGGACUGAGACACGGCCCAGACUCCUACGGGAGGCAGCAGUGGGGAAUAGUGGACAAUGGGCGAAAGCCUGAUCCAGCAAUGCCGCGUGAGUGAUGAAGGCCUUAGGGUUGUAAAGCUCUUUUACCCGGGAUGAUAAUGACAGUACCGGGAGAAUAAGCGCCGGCUAACUCCGUG
rnacentral:rRNA from 1 species